CCUACGGGAGGCUGCAGUGAGGAAUAUUGGUCAAUGGACGAGAGUCUGAACCAGCCAAGUAGCGUGAAGGAUGACUGCCCUAUGGGUUGUAAACUUCUUUUAUAUGGGAAUAAAAUGUUCCACGUGUGGGAUUUUGUAUGUACCAUAUGAAUAAGGAUCGGCUUACUCCGUGCCAGCAGCCGCGGUAAUACGGAGGAUCCGAGCGUUAUCCGGAUUUAUUGGGUUUAAAGGGAGCGUUGGUGGAGUUUUAAGUCAGUUGUGAAAGUUUGCGGCUCAACCGUAAAAUUGCAGUUGAAACUGGCAGUCUUGAGUACAGUAGAGGAGGGCGGAAUGCGUGGUGUAGCGGUGAAAUGCUUAGAUAUCACGAAGAACUCCGAUUGCGAAGGCAGCUCACUGGACUGCAACUGACACUGAGGCUCGAAAGUGUGGGUAUCGAACAGGAUUAGAUACCCCUGUAGUC
rnacentral:rRNA from 1 species